rnacentral:rRNA from 1 species
UUUAUUUAUUUGACCCUGAUUAUUCUAAAUGGAUAACUGUGGAAAAGCUAGAGUUAAUACAUGCACCAAAGCUCCAACCCCUCGGGGCAGAGCGCAUUUAUUAGAACAAAACCAAGCAGCUUCGGCUGUCUGCGUUGACUCAGAAUAACUAAGCUGACCGCAUGGCCUUGUGCCGGCGGCGUGUCUUUCAAGCGUCCACUUUAUCAACUUGACGGGAGCAUAACCGACUCCCAUGGUUGUGACGGAUAACGGAGGAUCAGGGUUCGACUCCGGAGAAGGGGCCUGAGAAAUGGCCACUACGUCUAAGGAUGGCAGCAGGCGCGCAAAUUACCCACUCUCGGUUCGAGGAGGUAGUGACGAGAAAUAACGAGACCGUUCUCUUCAGAGGCCGGUCAUUGGAAUGGGUACAACCUAAACCAUUUAACGAGUAUCUACGAGAGGGCAAGUCUGGUGCCAGCAGCCGCGGUAAUUCCAGCUCUCGCAAUGCAUAGGAUUUGUGCUGCAGCUAAAAAGCUCGUAGUUGGAUCUGUGCUGGGGCCUCGGUCCGCCUUAGGGCGUGUACUGGGUGUCCUCGGUUUUUGGCAGUGUUCCGUCUGGUGCCUUUAAACCGGUGCCCUGCGGGCGUUGCGAGUUUACUUUGAACAAAUCAGAGUGCUUCAAACGGGCGUUUCGCUUGAAUGAUCGUGCAUGGAAUAAUAGAAGAGGAUCACGGUUCUGUUUUAUUGGUUUUACGAACUGAGAUAAUGGUUAACAGAGACGAACGGGGGCAUUUGUAUGGCCACGUGAGAGGUGAAAUUCUUGGACCGUGGCCAGACAGACUACAGCGAAGGCAUUUGCCAAGAACGUUUUCAUUAAUCAAGAACGAAAGUCAGAGGUUCGAAGGCGAUCAGAUACCGCCCUAGUUCUGACCGUAAACGAUGCCAAUUAGCGAUCCGCCGAAGGAGAUUCAUGUGCCUUGGUGGGGAGCUUCCCGGAAGCGAAAAUUUUUCGGCUCUGGGGGAAGUAUGGUUGCAAAGCUGAAACUUAAAGGAAUUGACGGAAGGGCACCACCAGGAGUGGAGCCUGCGGCUUAAUUUGACUCAACACGGGGAAACUCACCCGGCCCGGACACUGUGAGGAUUGACAGAUUGAUAGCUUUUUCAUGAUUCAGUGGAUGGUGGUGCAUGGCCGUUCUUAGUUCGUGGAGUGAUUUGUCUGGUUUAUUCCGAUAACGAGCGAGACUCUCGCCUACUAAAUAGCCGGCGUGUUCUCACGUGCGUGUACGGCUUCUUAGAGGGAUCUACGGUGUUCAGCCGCAAGAAAUUGAGCAAUAACAGGUCUGUGAUGCCCUUAGAUGUCCGGGGCUGCACGCGCGCUACACUGGCAAAAUCAGCGUGCCUGUCCUGCCCCGAAAGGGGGUGGUAAACCAUUGAAAAUUUGCCGUGAUUGGGAUCGGAAAUUGCAAUUAUUUUCCGUGAACGAGGAAUUCCAAGUAAGUGCGAGUCAUCAGCUCGCGUUGAUUACGUCCCUGCCCUUUGUACACACCGCCCGUCGCUGCCCGGGACUGAGCCAUUUCGAGAAACUUGGGGACUGUCGAUCUGCUGGUGCUUGCGCCAGCUCCUCGGUGGAAACCAAUUUAAUCGCAGUGGCUUGAACCGGGCAAAA